rnacentral:misc_RNA from 1 species
GAUGAAGAACGUAGCGAAAUGCGAUAAGUAAUGUGAAUUGCAGAAUUCAGUGAAUCAUCGAAUCUUUGAACGCAUCUUGCGCUCCUUGGUAUUCUGAGGAGCAUGCCUGUUUGAGUGUCAUUAAAUUCUCAACUACACUGACUUUGAAUUGGUGUGGCUUGGAUUUGGGGAAAAUUGUUGUGGGCUUUUUGUAUAGUCUGCUCCCCUGAAAUUGAUUAGCGGUACCUUUGUGGAACUGUCUACAGGUGUGAUAAUUAUCUACAUCUUAGACAUCUGCUGGAAUGCUGCUUUCUAAACCUUACUUGUAUUGACAAUCUUGACCUCAAAUCAGGUAGGACUACCCGCUGAACUUAAGCAUAUCAAUAAGCGGAGGA